AGGGAGAGAGAGAGGGCAGGGGGAGAGAAAGAGAACAAGAUAGAGGGAAGAAGAGAGAGAAUGAGUAAGGGAGGGGGAGGGAGGGGGAGGGAGGGAGAGAGAGAUGGGGGACAGCAGCAACAUUAAAACAACAGCAACAACAACAACAGCUCAUGAAGAGUUGUGGUUGCAGGGCAAGUGAUGAUGGAACAAUAUGAAUUUAGUUUACAGGAUCAGGAUAGAAGUAAUUAUGGACGAUGUUGAAUUAAUUUACUGUGAUUACAGUCAGCAGGCCUAAUAGUAGUUAACUCUAGUUUUAUGUUAUUAAUUUUGGUAAGGCUGAUGUUCAUGUCUGCAGCAACAGUCCAGAGGAACCUAAGAGAAGAAGGAGCUCAGGGCCUGAGGCGGACAAUCAUAGACGAUGCAACUGGAGUCAGGCAGGUCCACAGCAGCAGACCGUCUACAGCAACAGUCCAGAGGAACCGAGGAGACUGUGGGACUCAGAGACAUACAGAGAGAUCUGGUUAGUAAUUUAUUUGGGAGAAAAUGACUUCAAUGUAAUAAAGAAAUGAUUAAUUAUGGACGAUGUUAAAUUAAUUGAAGGUGAUCAAAGUUGGCAAGUUUAAUGGCAGUUUACCUAAGUUUUAUGUUAUUAAUGUCAGUGAAUCUGACGUACAUGUCUGCAGCAACGUUCCAGAGGAGCCUAAGAGAAGAAGGAGCUCAGGGUCUGAGGUGGACGAUCAUAGACGAUGCAGCUGGAGUCAGGCAGGUCCACAGCAGCAGACUGUCUACAGCAACAGUCCAGAGGAACCUAGGAGACUGUGGGACUCAGAGACAUACAGAGAAAUCUGGUUAGUAAUUUAUUUAGGAGAAAAUGACUUCAAUGUAAUAAAGGAAUAAUUAAUUAUGGACGAUAUUAAAUGAAUUUAAGGUGAUUAAAGUUGGCAGGUUCAAUGGUAGUUUACUCCAGUUUUAUGUUAUUGGUGUCACUUAGGAUGACGUACGUGUCUGCAGCAACAAUCCAGAGGAGCCUAAGGGAUGGAGGAGCUCAGGGCCUGAGGUGGAAGAUCAUAGAUGAUGCAGCUGGGGUCAGGUAGGUCCACAGCAGACUGGGUCAACUUAGGGUCAACGCUUUGUUUUCAGUACUACAGAAGUGGUUCACUUCUCAACAUGGUUUAUCAUCAUGGAAACUGAUGCUGACCCAAUAACCUGCAGGACAGGUUACGUUCAGAAGAAGAGAAGUUUGAAGGAAACUCCAUUCAAUGACCAAUCAAUUUGCCUGGCUCUGACUUUUUUUAGAGUUAGGGCUUAAAAUAUAGAAUAAAAAACCUUGACUUGCUCUGUCAAUGUCCACACCAGUAACCCGUAACACCAGAAACUGUACAUGAACGAUUUGGAGUCAAACAGAGGAGUUCUGACCGACUGAGUAACUGGGACAGCAGUUCUGGGAAAUCAUGUGUUACUUCAAAUUAUGAGAUAAGAUGCUAACACUAUAGUGGUACAACUGAAAGAUUUGAUAGCACAAAUGUUUUUCUGCCCAAAGUUUCCCUUUCAGAUUUGACUUCCUUUCACUUAUUCACUCUGUUAUUCAACGAAACUGGAGACUAGCGAGCACAAUCAAGAGCAGACCCUAUUGAAAUUACUUGCAGUAUACCUGCAGCUAAGGCUGCACGAUAUUGGAAAAAAAUAAUAUUGCGAUUUUUUCAACCCUGCGAUAUAUAUUGCGAUAUUAAAAAUAUAGGAAUUUUCACCAGAUGACCUGAAUAGCACUUAAUGUUAUGCUGCACUGCUGAAAUCUUGAGGACAGUUAUCCUGCACUGAUCUUACCUCUUUUUGUGAAUGUUAGAAUGGCUUCUGUCUCAGAGAUAUUUUUAGCUUUUAUUGUGCUGGGACGUUAUCAGGGCUCUCAAGUUUUGAACUAAGCUUAGAGUGAGAUUUCCUGGGGGGGGGGGGGGGGUGAAGAUAACUAUUAGUAUAAUUAUCUCUUAAAUACAACGGAGCACAAGGGGCACAAUUAGAAAAAAACGUUUUUAUAUCUUACAGAAUAAAGUUAUUAUUUGGGAGAAUAAAAUCAUUAAUGUAUAAGUAUUAAGUCGUAAAGUUGUUAAAAUCUGCACUGUGGAGCAUUUAGAUGAAUUUUACUUUAGUAUAGGUUUCACAAACAUGGAGAUACUUAAUCCUUUGGUACAUGAGCAUUACACUGUCAUGAGUAUCAGAACUUAUAUUUGAGAUAUAUGAGAAAUGCAGCUUUUGUGGAGGGGAAAAUGGCUGGAAAUGGCUGUACGGAGGCUAAAUCCGUCAAUACAGCUGUUAAUAGCAAUAGCAUAGGGCUUUAGUUUAUCAUAUGAGUUUAUAUGCCAUGAGGUGUUGAGGUCUCUGCAUGUGUAGGUUACUGACUUACUGUAAUCAUCGGGUCUAUCUCGUCCUUAUAAAAACCUGCUCUAUUACGGCGAGUGUCUGUCCUCUCCUGUAGUCAAACCGCAAGAUAUCAAAAUCUACCCGGAUACAGCAAUGCUGAUUUUGAUUGGCUGUUCAGUAGAUAUACUUUAUUUGAUUGGCUUGCGCGUGGCACGCAGCUUCUGAACUCUCGGAGGAACUCAGUUGAUUCGUACCUGUUCCAUAAAGAGGUGCAACUUGGUGGACAUCACCAUGUUCAUUUAAAUGCGUGAGAAAUACGAUGUGUGGCGUGUGAGCGUGUGAACAGGUGGGAAUGCGUGUGUCUCACGCUGAGUGCGUGAGACUUGAGAGCCCUGCGUUAUUGUGGCAACAGAUUAACACAGAACACGUGUUUUGGUCCUUCUUUUAACCGAAAUAAUUCCAGAUAACUGACUUUCCUUUUCUUUUGGGCAACAAAUCUUCAUUUUCGGUGGUUUUCGCUUGUUCGUUGCUCAUUUUGCGAUCGUUGUUGUUGUUGUUAGCGGUGUUGUGCCGAGAAACGCAUGUCCUCCGAGAAUUGCAUGCACCUCGCAAAACGCGCACCGCUUAUAGUAGAGUGAUCCACGGAAAUGUACAAUUUAAAACCCAUACAGUUCUUAUUUGUUGGGCUAAACAGUCAUGAGUAAAGUUCCGAAAGUAAUUCUCAGCGGACACGAGUCUCCCUCCAUGUGCAGAACAUGUGCAGGGGUGGGUUUCCUCCUCUCUGAUUUUGAUUGACAGCUGGCAGGGUAGUCUGAUUGGCAACUGAGAAGUGAGUCUGAUUGGCAACUGAGUUAAGGACGAAUGUGAUUGGUGGAUCGCUGCAAAGCACAUGCAGAGUCACAUGCAGUGUAUCUCAGUCAGUUACCCUUGAAAUUAAAUGAGUUCAUUCACCUCCAAUAUCGCAGGCUCUGCGAUGUGACUAUCGCACACACGUACAUCGCGAUGACGAUAGUCAAACGAUAUAUCGUGCAGGCCUACCUGCAGCUAUCAAAAGUGGAUAGUCUUUUGUCACACAGACACAGGGGUGAACUUACUGAAACCAUCAUAGGAGAGCUGUGGUAAUGAAUGGAUUAAUAAUGAUAAAUAUUAUUCGCAGGCGCUGUUUAUAUGUUGGAUGGCUCGUCUCCACUGAAAAGGGGGGAGAAGAGAGAAGAACAAGCAAGGUAAGUUUCUUAAUCAGUUUUUGGGAAAUGGAAACAUGUGGUCUAGAUAUUGGAAGAAGACCACUUUUUUUAGACACAGAUUUCACAGAAACUUCAACUAAACAUGCAGUAGACAUUUGCCAUUGACAGUGGAACAAGGUAGGUGUCAUUUUAGUACCAUUUUAUUACCAAAAGUCAGAUUAAUAUCCAUUUGUUUUACAGUACUGUCGGCUGUGACCUUCAUGCAGUCCACACAGCCUUAUAAGCUGUUCUGUAAAGAAAUGCCGUAAUGUUUAACUGCAUGUCAUGGAGGUAUAGGAUUAAUUUAGG